CACGUAGGGUGCGAGCGUUGUCCGGAAUUAUUGGGCGUAAAGAGCUCGUAGGCGGUGUGUCGCGUCGGCCGUGAAAACCUGCAGCUUAACUGUGGGCUUGCGGUCGAUACGGGCAUCACUGGAGUUCGGCAGGGGAGACUGGAAUUCCUGGUGUAGCGGUGAAAUGCGCAGAUAUCAGGAGGAACACCGAUGGCGAAGGCAGGUCUCUGGGCCGAUACUGACGUGAGGAGCGAAAGCGUGGGGAGCAAACAGG
rnacentral:rRNA from 1 species